GCAUUGGAAAGUAUCCAGCUAGACAUGAGAGGAUGUGACUGGAGGAAGACAGCAAUGUGUAUAGGAACAUGGCCAAUUAUUAGGAAAUUACAGAAAUUCUAGAGCACAUUCUAUGAUUGGUACCAAAGAGCUAUGGGUAGUGAAAAUGACAGCAAAAUCAAUAAAGAGAAUUGUAAGGUCAGUAUGAAGAACAUUCCCAGUUCAGAUCUUAAUUUCAAGAACAAUUUG
rnacentral:lncRNA from 1 species